AAUGUGGGUCCCAGUGACCCUACACCGAAAGAGACACUAUUGAGCUUACAGUGGAGGGAAAUCUGUCUAUCUGGGUGCCAACAUUAGUGGGAACGGUACUAUCAUCAUAAUCCCUGAGAAGAAUCUUAUGAUAAAUUGGUUUUAUGGCGUACUGGCUUAAUGUCUAUUGACACUUCAUCAGUUCUGCUAGACUACGGUGGUAUGGACACGCUGUAAGAAUGCCAGAGACUAGGUUACCAAAUUUUUUACUGGAGUGAAACCUAACUAUGUAAAGCGAUCGAGAGGGAGACCCCAAAAAGCCUGGAUGGCCUGUGUACUCGAGGAUGCUGCUAACUUAACAGUUGUUUAAAACAUCAGUCGAGAUGCAGUACGACAGUUAGCACUGUUAAGCCGUACAAGGGACGUGUGUGAUGCAGGCCACUCCAACGACUAGGAGGAGACCUCUUCAGUCUUCAUGUAGCAUGAAUGUGUAUGAUUUACAUUGCAUUACAGCUGUACUGAAUUAAAGGGAACCCUUUUUGGGCUUUCUUUAGCUAAACUUGAUUUAAAUAAUAUUGAAUUGACUGACUAGUUUGUAAUGCCUAAUGUUAGCAAUUGUAACCUAUUAUAGUAAUUGUGAUCAAACAAUGUAACUUUUCAUCAAAACCUUUUUUAUUCUAGGGAAUGUUCUGAAUUCCAAGUACUUAUUACAACAACAAUCUUGAUAGUUGAUGAUUUCGUAUUUUGUGGAGAUCGGAGAAUCUAUCUGCUCGACAUGUCUCUCUGUAUUAGAAGAGUUUGUAUGCCGAGAAGAGUUAGAAGGGAGAUGAAGAGUAAAACAAGGCAAACAUGUAUUGGACAGCAUUUAUAGCUUGACAAAGGGAUCAGGAGCUAUGGAGCUAUAAUAUGAAACACAUGCUUUUAAACAUCAUGGAGAAGGCAAGAAUGUUCAAAGCAGAAAAAAGGGGAAUAUCCUGAAGACAUAAAGUCAAGCUUCAAUUCUGGUUAAAAGAUGAAAUCGACUGAGG